UACGACCACAUCACGUUGAAACACCGGUUCUUGUACGAUCAUCGAAGCUAACAAACAUCGAACCUGGUCAGUAUCUAGAUGGGUGACCGCUAGGGAAUACCAGGUGCUGUG